rnacentral:rRNA from 1 species
GAUGAACGCUGGCGGCGUGCCUAAUACAUGCAAGUCGAGCGAACAGACGAGGAUCUUGCUCCUCUGACGUUAGCGGCGGACGGGUGAGUAACACGUGGAUAACCUCCCUAUAAGACUGGGAUAACUUCGGGAAACCGGAGCUAAUACCGGAUAAUAUAUUGAACCGCAUGGUUCAAUAGUAAAAGACGGUUUUGCUGUCACUUAUAGAUGGAUCCGCGCCGCAUUAGCUAGUUGGUAAGGUAACGGCUUACCAAGGCAACGAUGCGUAGCCGACCUGAGAGGGUGAUCGGCCACACUGGAACUGAGACACGGUCCAGACUCCUACGGGAGGCAGCAGUAGGGAAUCUUCCGCAAUGGGCGAAAGCCUGACGGAGCAACGCCGCGUGAGUGAUGAAGGUCUUCGGAUCGUAAAACUCUGUUAUUAGGGAAGAACAAAUGUGUAAGUAACUAUGCACGUCUUGACGGUACCUAAUCAGAAAGCCACGGCUAACUACGUG